rnacentral:rRNA from 1 species
AUUGAACGCUGGCGGCAUGCCUACACAUGCAAGUCGAACGGGCUUUGGGGCUUGCUCCAAGGUUAGUGGCGAACGGGUGAGUAAUAUAUCGGAACGUACCCUAGAGUGGGGGAUAACUAGUCGAAAGGCUGGCUAAUACCGCAUACGAACUAAGGAUGAAAGUGGGGGACCUUCGGGCCUCAUGCUCAUGGAGCGGCCGAUAUCUGAUUAGCUAGUUGGUGGGGUAAAAGCCUACCAAGGCGACGAUCAGUAGCUGGUCUGAGAGGACGAUCAGCCACACUGGGACUGAGACACGGCCCAGACUCCUACGGGAGGCAGCAGUGGGGAAUUUUGGACAAUGGGCGAAAGCCUGAUCCAGCAAUGCCGCGUGAGUGAAGAAGGCCUUCGGGUUGUAAAGCUCUUUUGUCAGGGAAGAAACGGUGGGGGCUGAUAUCCUCUGCUAAUGACGGUACCUGAAGAAGAAGGACCGGCCAACUACGUGCCAGCCGCCGCAGUAA